rnacentral:lncRNA from 1 species
UCUGUAUACCCAUUUAACUCCAAUCACAUUUUUAUUUAUUGGUCUAUCAACUAGCACCGAAGUAUCAUUUUUCUAAAUCAUGGCUAGCUCCUCCUUCAUUGCUACCAUCCAAUCUUGUGAACUUGCCGCUUUAAAAAAUUUAGAAGGUUCCAACAUGGUUGAAUUGCAGCUAGCGUACACAUCUGCAAGUGAUCUUGUUCUAAUCACUGCAUUUCUUGAAUCUGAACCACAAUCAGAUUCUGCUUCAUCCUUACUAAUAAUGGCAUUUUUUUCUUGGGGGUAUUACUCCUUGAAUUUGCUUCGUAACUACUGAACUUGUCUCCUAAUUCCAUGAAGAUUCUUCAUCAACUUUGAUAUCCCUGCUAGCUAUCAUCUUCUUGGUUUGAGGAUUGUAGAUGCUGUACCCCUUGGCAUUGUUAAAUACCCAACCAAAAUUCCAAUCUCAGCCCUCAGACUCAAUUUAUCCCUUUUUGCAUCAAGUAUAUGAAUAAAACAAAUGCUACCAAAUACUUUUAAGUGUGCAAUAUCAGGCUUAACUCCAUACCAAGCUUCAACUGGAGUUUUCUUUUCUAAGGCUUUUGUGGACAAUCUAUUGAGAAGAUAUAUUGCCAUGUUAACAGCUUCAGCCCAGAAUUCUUUUGAUUUUUUUUUUCAAACAUCAAACACUUAGCCAUCUCCAUCACUGUCCUAUUCUUUCUCUCACACACACCAUUUUGCUGAGGAGAAUAUAGAACAGUCAACUGGUGCUUGAUUCUCAUGGCAUCACAGAACCUGUCAAACUUAUCACAGCUGUAUUCAGUUCUAUUGUCGGUUCUAAUGGCUUUAAUCCUAUAACCACUUUCAUUCUCCACAAGAUUUUUAAAUUUUUGAAACACGGAUGCCACUUCAGAUUUCAACUUUAAUAAAUAAACCCAGCACAUUCUUGUCAAGUCAUCAAUAAAAAGAACAAAAUAUCUACUGCCAUUUAAAGUAGGAGUCCUCAAUGGACCACAAACGAAGCUCUUCUUGACUAAUUUUUGGGAAAUGGCAGUCUUGUUUGCUUCCCAAAUUGACAAACAUCACAUACUCAAGCAUCAUCAUUUAUAUCAGGCAUGUUCUUUACUAGAUCAAGUUUAUGCAAGUGCUUAAGUGAGGUGAAGUUUGCAUGGCCAAAUCAUUUGUGCCA